GUUUACUUGUAGUUUAGUAUAUACUAAAAUUGGAGCGAUACAGAGAAGAUUAGCAUGGUCCCUGCACAAAGAUGACAUUCAAAUUCGUGAAGCAUUCCACAUUUUG
rnacentral:snRNA from 1 species